CGCAUGCGUUUGUUUCAUCGAUGCAAAUGCGCAUGCGUUUGUUUCAUACAUAAACUUAAAAAUAGGCGGAAAACAGCUCGAUAGUUGCUGAAGCUGUUCAAGAAGGUAAAUUGGCUGAAUUUUGGCCUGAUUAUCCAUGCCUGUACGACGUAAGAUGUGCUGCAUUCAAGAAUCGUGAGUUGCGGGAUAAAGCCCUUCAAGAGCUCGCCGAAAAGCUUGGAACAACAAGAAGAAAAAGUGAAUGGGUCAAAGCUAAAAUCAGAGCCCUGAGAAACAGCUUUAGCAAAGCAAAGAAGCCCCUACCUAGUGGAAGUGCAAGAAAAAAUCAAACAAAACGCACUCAGUGGAUACUUGAAAAAACUGCAGUUUUUAACACCUCAUGUAGCAACUCGGGCAUCAGUAUCAAAUAUAGAUUUGGAUCCCUGUGGUAGUAGUAGUAAUCAAUCAACAGAGGCAAGUCAUGAAAAUGAUGUUGAUGAUGAUGAAAGUGAAGAUGACUUCCUUAAUCCAUCAACUCCAAGUAGCCCAACGAAUCAAACAAAGGAGGAUGGUGAUCAAGUGUCUGCAAGAUCUACAAGUGAACCACUAAGAAAACCAACUAAAUCCAGAAGGAAACAGGCUGAAGAAGAGUACCAGUUGAUUAAAAAUUUGUCACAGUCAAUAGCAAACAAAAAUAAAAGAAAACGGGCAAAUACAAAGAAUGAUACCAUUUUUGAGGCUUUUGGCAAUUAUGUAGCCAAGGCCUAAUCUGAAUUAGACAGCCAAACAAGUCAUUUUGCACAGAAUAAAAUAAGUAGCAUUAUUUUUCAAGCACAAACAGGGUUACUAACGCCGGAAAUGCAAACACAAACAAUGAUGCAAGUCCAGCCUCAGAGGAAUUACUUCCACCCACUCAUGCAACCUAGUAUGUCAACAAGCCCUUCACCUCCAAUUUAUGGCCAGAAUAGUGUAUCUUACAGAGAGAACAGUGUAUCUUACAGAGAGAACAGUGUAUCUUACAGAGAGAACAGUGUAUCUUACAGAGAUGACCACCUUUGAACACUGCAAGGGUGAACCUUUUUAUUAUUGAAUAACUGUGGUCUGCUUAUAUAUCAUUUUUGCUAUGUUCUAUUUAUACAUAUGUAAAAAAUUAAAGUUGUACCUUUAAAUA